UGCAGUCGAACGGUAACAGGCCGCAAGGUGCUGACGAGUGGCGAACGGGUGAGUAAUGCAUCGGAACGUGCCCAGUCGUGGGGGAUAACGCAGCGAGAGCUGCGCUAAUACCGCAUACGAUCUAUGGAUGAAAGCGGGGGACCGUAAGGCCUCGCGCGAUUGGAGCGGCCGAUGUCAGAUUAGGUAGUUGGUGGGGUAAAGGCUCACCAAGCCGACGAUCUGUAGCUGGUCUGAGAGGACGACCAGCCACACUGGAACUGAGACACGGUCCAGACUCCUACGGGAGGCAGCAGUGGGGAAUUUUGGACAAUGGGCGCAAGCCUGAUCCAGCAAUGCCGCGUGCAGGAAGAAGGCCUUCGGGUUGUAAACUGCUUUUGUACGGAACGAAACGACCCUGGUUAAUACCUGGGGUUAAUGACGGUACCGUAAGAAUAAGCACCGGCUAACUACGUGCCAGCAGCCGCGGUAAUACGUAGGGUGCAAGCGUUAAUCGGAAUUACUGGGCGUAAAGCGUGCGCAGGCGGUGAUGUAAGACAGUCGUGAAAUCCCCGGGCUCAACCUGGGAAUUGCGAUUGUGACUGCAUCGCUGGAGUGCGGCAGAGGGGGAUGG
rnacentral:rRNA from 1 species